CCCUUAGAUGUCCUGGGCCGCACGCGCGUUACACUGAUGCAUUCAACGAGCUUAUAACCUUGGCCGAGAGGCCUGGGCAAUCUUGUUAACGUGCAUCGUGAUAGGGAUAGAUUAUUGAAAUUAUUAAUCUUGAACGAGGAAUUCCUAGUAAACGCAGAUCAUCAAUCUGCAUUGAUUACGUCCCUGCCCUUUGUACACACCGCCCGUCGCACCUACCGAUUGGAUGGUCCGGUGAAGCCUCGGGAUUGUGGUUCUUGCCGCUUUAUUGUGGUGUGACCGCGAGAACUUGUCUAAACCUUAUCAUCUAGAGGAAGGUGAAGUCGUAACG
rnacentral:rRNA from 1 species